UUGACUUGAAGAUGAGGCUACCGUAACGUUGGAAACAGCGGUUAGGAGCUUACACCCACCCGUGUCUACAUACUAUUGUUGCUUUGGCGGGCCGUGGCCUCCACUGCGGGCUCUGCUCGUGUGUGCCCGCCAGAGAACCAAACUCUGAAUGUUAGUGAUGUCUGAGUACUAUCUAAUAGUUAAAACUUUCAACAACGGAUCUCUUGGUUCUGGCAUCGAUGAAGAACGCAGCGAAAUGCGAUAAGUAAUGUGAAUUGCAGAAUUCAGUGAAUCAUCGAAUCUUUGAACGCACAUUGCGCCCUGUGGUAUUCCGCAGGGCAUGCCUGUUCGAGCGUCAUUUAACCACUCACGCCUAGCGUGGUAUUGGGGCACGCGGUCUCCGCGGCCCUCAAAAUCAGUGGCGGCGCCGGUGGGCUCUAAGCGUAGUACAUACUCCCGCUAUAGAGUUCCCCCGGUGGCUCGCCAGAACCCCCAAUUUUUUACAGGUUGACCUCGGAUCAGGUAGGAUUCGCCCUUU
rnacentral:rRNA from 1 species